rnacentral:lncRNA from 1 species
AUGCUCCACCAGAUCCUCGGUCAGACUAAGAAGCAUCUGAGCUUGAUCCCCUCUUUGUGUUUAUUGGAGCUGAAGGUACUGGAGCAGCACUGUGUGUCUUGUGUCUGGCAUUGUUCAAUCCAGAUGUUAGUUGAGACGGAAAGCAUAACCCAGAACCCUGAAACAAACUGGGUCCCAAUGAUCCAUACGAGUUCUACCCAGUGAAUGUGGAUUACAGCAUACUGAGGAAAGAAGGUCCAGAUUUCUAA